rnacentral:misc_RNA from 1 species
CUGAACCGUUGACACGAGCUGUUGCUGGCCUCUUGAACAGGGGCAUGUGCACGCUCUGUUUACAUAUCCACUCACACCCUGUGCACUCUCUGUGGUUCUGUGGCUUAAGGGACCAUGUCUCUUUGCCGUGGUUCUACGUAUUUAUACACACCCUGUAGUGAAGUCUCAUGGAAUGCGUGACGCGUUUAACGCAACGAAAUA